ACCUGACCAUGUUUUUGGGAGGGUUGUGGAAGGACUUUGGAACUCUAGGCUAGAAGAGCCAUUCAUCGUUGAGCUCUACGGGAUGUUCUGUCGGGGCUUGGAAGAUAAGAAUGUUGAGAGCAGUGCAGAGGAUGGAGGGCCUGCCUUGUGAAGUUUCAGAGGGAAGAUUGAAGGUUCUGUCGGGACCAUUUGCUAUCUUAAAUGAAGAGCCUAUGGUUCUGGUUAGCUAGGGCUGAAGAAUCAGCUGUGAUUAACAAGAUACCAGAACUACUAAAGUGGGACAUUUAUGUUACUGGGGCAAUUGAUGCUGGUUAGCUGGAGCUGAGAAAUUAGCAGUGAUUAAAAAGAAACCAAAAUCUCUUAGGUGAAAUCUUCUGGAAAGUGGUUCCUGAGAGCACAGGGAAGCUGUUCCAGAGGUAGGCAUGAUUUUGCCCCAUGCUGGCAGCUGGAUUUGGCAAUGUGUAAGCAUGACCCAGGUGAUACUUGUUUGGAAUGCAUGAAGGGGUCAUGGAGAGAAGCUGAGGCUUGGCACUGUGAGAGGCCAGGAGAAGCCUGGCACUGGUGAAGGCGCAGCCUCUGUGGCAAUUGAAGACCCAGAACUGAAGGGGUCAUGCAAGGAAGUUGAGGCUUGAAACCAUGAAGGGAGCCUAUGAGAGGCUAUUGGUGAAAAUGCAGCCCAAUUGGAGCCCAGCACUUUGGGUAUGCCAGUACCACGGGGUGACCACUAAGAGGAACAGCUUCAGUGGAGUAAAGUGAGUCCACCUGAACUUAAAAUACAAACCACAUCGUGUGCGGCAAAGGACACAGCUGGAGAAGUGACCCAAGUCCUGUGGAGAAGCCCAGAGACAGAAAAUAAGCUGUGUGUGAUGCAGAGGGCAGAGCCGGAAGUGAACCAGGCCUUUGAAGGAGUACAGAAGAUGAGUUCUGGUCCCCAGAUUCUUGAUGAUGGGUCAUCUACAGAAGCCCUCACUGCACACAGUCUGGCAUCUUGGUGCAAGGUUGUUUGUAAGCAAGGAGAAGAUAAGGCUGUGAUUCGAUUGAAAUUUAAAUGGGGUUUCAGAGACCAUGAAGAUUUCUGAGAGUUGAGAGAACAUCCGUGUGCUAUUCCUAUUUAAAAAAAAAUGAUGUUAUGAAUGGUGAACCUUUAA